GACGAACGCUGGCGGCGUGCUUAACACAUGCAAGUCGAACGGUGACCCAUCUUCGGAUGGUGAUCAGUGGCGAACGGGUGAGUAACACGUGGGCAACCUGCCCCUAGCUCUGGGAUAACUCCUCGAAAGAGGUGCUAAUACCGGAUAUCACCUCCCUGGACAUCCAGGGUGGUUGAAAGUUUUUCGGCUAGGGAUGGGCCCGCGGCCUAUCAGCUUGUUGGUGGGGUAAUGGCCUACCAAGGCGACGACGGGUAGCCGGCCUGAGAGGGCGACCGGGCACACUGGGACUGAGACACGGCCCAGACUCCUACGGGAGGCAGCAGGGGGGAAUAUUGAGCAAUGGGCGAAAGCCUGACGCAGCAACGCCGCGUGAGGGAUGACGGCCUUCGGGUUGUAAACCUCUUUCAGCAGGGACGAAGCGAAAGUGACUGUACCUGCAGAAGAAGCGCCGGCUAACUACGUGCCAGCCGCCGCAGUAAUAC
rnacentral:rRNA from 1 species